rnacentral:lncRNA from 1 species
ACCGCCCAAGGCUCAACAAAACAUCAAAUAUGUAUAUAGUUUGCACAAGCGGAAACAAAAACAUGCAUGACUUGUACGAGGGCAAGCAAUAGCCAAAAGUGAAAGAUUCUAAACUAGAUAUACAUACAAGUAUUAUGAUUAACUUUUAAUCACAUACAUGUAUUCAACCACAUCGUACAUUUACAUUUUUUUCAUUCUUUCCUUAUACAUCAUAUGAUCUCCAAAAUUACAUAACAUUUCUUUCCUAAAAAUCUUAAGCUUUUACAUUUAUGCAUCAUUCAUACUACUAGUAUCAUCAAAUACAAAAGAU